CUUCAAAGUUGGGUGACUCACCAGCUUUAUAACAGUAAGCACCACAGUGCACAUAAAAGAAAGAACUUUUCCCAGACAUUACCUACAGUAGAAUUUUCUCCAAGUCCUUUUCCAGAAAGCAAGAAAGAAACAACACAAAGGAUUAACCUAGUUGCAGAAAGAGCAGUAAAGGACUCUGGCAAGGCAGUUCUCUCUGGCAGGGAGAACAACCUGGGAAGUAAAUGUUCUUUUGCCAUGCUUUAUCCAGAGUGCUUGGUUUGUACGAGUGUCUGCAAGCUGACUCCUGGAAACGGAGAAUCACCUGCUGCCCCAAACAGUGAGUCAAGUUUUCUUUUAGACUCCUUACAGCUUUACCGUAGCUAUUUGCUAUUCCUACAUCCUAUUUCUUUACAGCUGUAUCCUUAGUAUGGUGACAGCUGGCUACUAUGACUUGUCUGCAAACCUUGUCAUGGAGUAUACUGGGCUAGGUUAGAAAUAUAUUAAAAUUUCAUAGGAAACUUCUGAAAUGUCUUGGCAUUUAUUCAUAGAACUCCAUAUAUAUUGGGAAAGAAAAGGGGAUUAACUUUUGUUGCUAUCCUUUCCACGUGCCUGUAACUCUGUUAGGCAAUAGGAAGUAUUUUACCAGAUUUAAAUCUGCAACUCUCCUCUAAAAUAUCCAUAUUCUCAGUUUACCUACAACAUUCAAGGGGUUUUGCAAAGGUCAGGCAGCUAAUAAAUCUGCUACCGCACUACACCACAUUUUUCUACCAUAUCAUUUGGCUGAACCUUUGAGAAGAGUUUCAUGGCAGAUGAACAUGUAGCAUCUUUCAAAUCCCACUGAAAAGAUAGCUAGCUACUUUGCCUAUGACCUUUCCCAGACCAAAAAUGUUAGAAGGAAUCUUGAACAAAAUCUUAUAUAUCUUACUCAAUCCACAGUCAGCCUUUAUUGGGUACCUGCAAUGGG
rnacentral:lncRNA from 1 species